rnacentral:lncRNA from 1 species
AUUUUACUAUACAACAGAUCAACGAAGUAAUCAACUUUAUUAUACAACAGAUCAACGAAGUAAUCAACUUUACUAUACAACAGAUCAACGAAGUAAUCAACUUUACUAUACAACAGUUCAACGAAGUAAUCAACUAAACUAUACAACAGAUCAACGAAGUAAUCAACUUUACUAUACAACAGAUCAACGAAGUAAUCAACUAUACUAUACAACAGAUCAACGAAGUAAUCAACUUUAUUAUCCAACAGAUAAACGAAGUAAUCAACUAUAUUAUACAACAGAUCAACGAAGUAAUCAACUUUAUUAUACAACAGAUCAACGAAGUAAUCAACUUUACAACAGAUCAACGAAG